rnacentral:tRNA from 1 species
CCGUAGCUCAACGGUAGAGCAUCUGCUUUGCAUGUAGAAGGUCUCAGAUUCAAUCCCCAGCAUCUCAUGU